rnacentral:lncRNA from 1 species
GUUAAGGUAGCUCAAAAUAGCAUUCUUGGUUCAUAUUUUCUCUAUGUCUGAGCUUUAUUCAUAUUAUUCUGUUAUCUUGUAGUAGUGUAUGCUCCUUUUGAGAAAGAGCACAGCCAUGUCUUCAACCUUAAUGAUCCAAUUUUAUGUAUCUAGAUGUUUUAAAAAUCUCUUAAUCAUUGAAUUCUCAAUUUCAUUAUCUUUCCUGGAAUGCAGUGGGUCACUUUUAUUUGCAAUUUCGACUUUUCCUCAUUUUGGUUUUUUUUAUUAAUAUGUUUGAGUCAUUUUGAUGUAAAACUCACUCAAGCAAACAAAAUACCAUGAAAGAAUUGUUUUUUUUUGUCUUUUUAAUUUAUUUUCCACUCUCAAAUUGCUUUCAUCUUGUAGUUUCAUUGUGUUCCCAUUAAUCAUCUCUAGUGUUUCCUCCAUGUUACUUAUGGUUUAUAGCGAUUCUUAUUUUCUAAUUUGAUUGUUAUUUUCUGGUUGAGCUUUAAAUGCAUUUAUGUAUUCCAGAUUAUCAUCCUUUGUUACAUAUGUAGUGUGCAAAUAUUUUCUCUCUGUAACUUUUUAAAAAUAAUCCCUUUUCCAGAGUCUUUUGCUGAGCACGAGAUUUAAUUUUGAUAAGGCCUAGUAUCUCAGACUUUUCUUUCAUCAACUGUUUAAUGUUUAUUUUCAGUCAGAGAGUUUGAAUACUGAUGUUACAGAUGAAUUAGUAAAAUUGAGUCACUGACUGAAUGUGAGUGAGAGGAGAUUUUGAUAGAUGGAUGAUCCUUGAAGAAGGAAUUCAUUCAGAUCAAGAACAUGAUGAGCAGGGAUUGACCAUGUGCAAGCUUGAAAUAAAGUGUCGGAAAGGUAUGUGACAGUCCUACUUAAGAAGACUUGGAAGCAAAGAAGCUCCUAUUGGGGCUUAGGAUAGGGUUCUCAAAACUUUUCAGCAACAGACCUUUUUGAUUGGACUACUUAAGUGGAUAAAAAAUCAUGACCUUAAAUAACAUAAGGGAGUCUUGUACUCUUCAGUUCAACACAGGCCUUAAACCGUUUUUGCAUUCAUAUAUUAGAGUUUGACACCCCAACUUGAGACCAUGAACCUGUUGAUGGGUCCAAAGGCUGGCAGCAGUUAGGGCCACUUAUCUUAACUGUUUACUUUUUGGCUACCACUGUGAUCUGAGGCAAGAAUUGUCAUGUUAGCUAAUUCACAAAGAAAGUGGAGUUUCUGUAUGUUGUUCAGACCUCAUUGUUUUUAGCUACAAAGAUUGUGCUUUUUCUAAUAUUUCUCCCCCACCAGCUGCUGUCCAUAAAGAGCAUUGUUAUUUCAAUGGCUAUUUUAAGUUUAGUAUAUUCAUGUUUAACAUUUCAAGUUGUCAUGUGUAUAAUUUUUGCCACUAAAUUUGUUCACUAUCAAUAGGACAUAUAGUUUUUUAUUAGAAAAUAGGGUACACAUCAUAACUACAUGGUCAAAGCAAAUAUCCACAUUCUUGGUUACAUUCAGUUGUUGUAAAAAUAGCCAAGUGGCAGAUGGAGAUUUUUACAGCCCUUGUGAUUGAAAAGUAAAUAAGAAAAGUAUUUGUCAAAGCCCAUGGUCUUUGAUGAAAAGGGGAUUAACUGGGGAAAACAUACCUACAUUGUCAUUGAGCAACAUUGAAGAAUGUGUUUUAUUGUAUUUAUUCAUCUAUUUUUUACAAAGUAACAAGUAUCAAACCUAAAGUUCUAAAAAAAAAUAUUUCAGAUUGUUACUCUUCUGACUUAUAUUUUCGAAACUUCCUUUGUAGAAAUACAAGAGUACAAAUUAUCAUUUUAAAUGCACCAAAAAGUACCCACAAGAAAAAAUUAAAUAUUGACUUGGAUUUUACCGAUAAAUAAUUUUACAAGGAUGGGAAACCCUAUUUCCAACUUCCUAUAAGACAAUAACAGAAUCAGAAAUUAUAAGGCAUAUUUUAUGAUCUAGUUUGACACUAGAAAAUCCCUAACAUUAGAGAGUAGUAAAUUAUACAAAAGGGACAUAAGAAUUUUGGAUUCAAUUUACUUUUUGGUUUAGAAUUUAAAUUUAAUAAUUAAAAAACAUUAAUAAAAUUAAAAUAUUAUGAUCCUUUCUUGCAUGUUCAACAAUGCAGGGAUUUUGAAAAGUUUUAAAAAUAUAUCAUGAUGCUUACAUUUUAUUACAACAGAAACUGUUUUAAUUCUUCACACAACUUAUAGUCUAGAUAGUCACUAAUUUUGUAUGUCUAUCUUCCUUGCAGAUGUGGAAAGUAAGGAAACUUUUCAAAAAUAACCUAAUGUUACCUAGAAAACCUAAAACAAAUAUUGUACUUCAUAGUGAAUCAGAGGUUGUUACUCGAUUAUUAACUCCAUUAUUAAUUAUGUAUUGUAUUUUUCAUUGUACUUAAUAUAUUUUCUUGCACUUUUUUUUUGAACUUGAUAAUCAUUCCAGAUGAUUAUAGUAAGAAAUGGAUAUAAAGUUCCUGGCUUUGUUUUUAAGUGAGGUUACAAAUUUUAUAGCUCAAAAUGUAGUUUUGAAAGCUUUUAACUAUACAUGUUGAACUGCUUUCCAUAUGAAAGCAUCAUGUAAUUCUUUUAUAAUGUGUUUCUAUUCAUACACUACAUAGGAAAUUUCAAAAGUUCAUAUUGAAGAAAUGUAGAAGGAAAACAAAUAAAUGCAAGCAAUCAAGCAGUGUGAUCAAACAACAUGAGAUUCAGGGUAUAAUGUGCAACUGUCUUGAAUACUCAUCAGACAAAAAAUAUGUGAAGGUUUCUACUCUGUGAAGCUUUAUUUUUCCUAACCUUUUUUUUCAUCAUAUGUGACUUUGUCAGGCAAAAAGGAAAGGAAGGUAUGACCUCAUUAAAACCCAGUUGAAUAAAACAUAUAAAAGACAAAAUUAACUAAAGCCUCUAAGAACUCCAUAUUGGAUGUUCACUACCUGGCUGCUAGGUGUCACCUGCUACAGUUUUGAAAUGUAUCCUGUAGAAUAUUUUAUCAUUGUAUUUUUAUAAAUCUUCUCUCUAGUUGUGUGGAUUUUUUUUAAAGAUAAAGGAAAGAACACAAAAUCGAAUCAGG